AGAGUUUGAUCCUGGCUCAGAGCGAACGCUGGCGGCGUGCUUAACACAUGCAAGUCGAACGCGCAGCAUUCUGUAGCAAUACAGGGUGUGGGCGCGUGGCGAACGGGUGCGUAACACGUGGAUAACCUUCCUUCAGGUGGGGAAUAACCCAGUGAAAAUUGGGCUAAUACCGCAUAACAUGACGAUGCCACAUGGUGUUGUCUUCAAAGCCGCAAGGCGCCAGAAGAGGGAUCCGCGGCCGAUUAGCUUGUUGGCGAGGUAAUGGCUCACCAAGGCUUUGAUCGGUAGCCGGACUGAGAGGUUGGCCGGCCACACUGGAACUGAGACACGGUCCAGACUCCUACGGGAGGCAGCAGUGGGGAAUCUUGCACAAUGGACGAAAGUCUGAUGCAGCAACGCCGCGUGGGGGAUGAAGCUUUUCGGAGUGUAAACCCCUUUCGACCCGGAAGAAUGCCCGCAAGGGUUUGACGGUACGGGUAUAAGAAGCCCCGGCUAACUACGUGCCAGCAGCCGCGGUAAUACGUA
rnacentral:rRNA from 1 species